rnacentral:rRNA from 1 species
UUUAUGGAGAGUUUGAUCCUGGCUCAGAGUGAACGCUGGCGGCGUGCCUAAUACAUGCAAGUCGAACGAUGAAGCUUCUAGCUUGCUAGAGUGCUGAUUAGUGGCGCACGGGUGAGUAACGCAUAGGUUAUGUGCCUCUUAGUUUGGGAUAGCCAUUGGAAACGAUGAUUAAUACCAGAUACUCCCUACGGGGGAAAGAUUUAUCGCUAAGAGAUCAGCCUAUGUCCUAUCAGCUUGUUGGUAAGGUAAUGGCUUACCAAGGCUAUGACGGGUAUCCGGCCUGAGAGGGUGAACGGACACACUGGAACUGAGACACGGUCCAGACUCCUACGGGAGGCAGCAGUAGGGAAUAUUGCUCAAUGGGGGAAACCCUGAAGCAGCAACGCCGCGUGGAGGAUGAAGGUUUUAGGAUUGUAAACUCCUUUUGUUAGAGAAGAUAAUGACGGUAUCUAACGAAUAAGCACCGGCUAACUCCGUGCCAGCAGCCGCGGUAAUACGGAGGGUGCAAGCGUUACUCGGAAUCACUGGGCGUAAAGAGCGCGUAGGCGGGAUAGUCAGUCAGGUGUGAAAUCCUAUGGCUUAACCAUAGAACUGCAUUUGAAACUACUAUUCUAGAGUGUGGGAGAGGUAGGUGGAAUUCUUGGUGUAGGGGUAAAAUCCGUAGAGAUCAAGAGGAAUACUCAUUGCGAAGGCGACCUGCUGGAACAUUACUGACGCUGAUUGCGCGAAAGCGUGGGGAGCAAACAGGAUUAGAUACCCUGGUAGUCCACGCCCUAAACGAUGGAUGCUAGUUGUUGGAGGGCUUAGUCUCUCCAGUAAUGCAGCUAACGCAUUAAGCAUCCCGCCUGGGGAGUACGGUCGCAAGAUUAAAACUCAAAGGAAUAGACGGGGACCCGCACAAGCGGUGGAGCAUGUGGUUUAAUUCGAAGAUACACGAAGAACCUUACCUAGGCUUGACAUUGAGAGAAUCCGCUAGAAAUAGUGGAGUGUCUAGCUUGCUAGACCUUGAAAACAGGUGCUGCACGGCUGUCGUCAGCUCGUGUCGUGAGAUGUUGGGUUAAGUCCCGCAACGAGCGCAACCCCCUUUCUUAGUUGCUAACAGGUUAUGCUGAGAACUCUAAGGAUACUGCCUCCGUAAGGAGGAGGAAGGUGGGGACGACGUCAAGUCAUCAUGGCCCUUACGCCUAGGGCUACACACGUGCUACAAUGGGGUGCACAAAGAGAAGCAAUACUGCGAAGUGGAGCCAAUCUUCAAAACACCUCUCAGUUCGGAUUGUAGGCUGCAACUCGCCUGCAUGAAGCUGGAAUCGCUAGUAAUCGCAAAUCAGCCAUGUUGCGGUGAAUACGUUCCCGGGUCUUGUACUCACCGCCCGUCACACCAUGGGAGUUGUGUUUGCCUUAAGUCAGGAUGCUAAAUUAGCUACUGCCCACGGCACACACAGCGACUGGGGUGAAGUCGUAACAAGGUAACCGUAGGUGAACCUGCGGUUGGAUCACCUCCUUUCUAGA